CCUACGGGAGGCUGCAGUAGGGAAUAUUGGGCAAUGGCCAAACGGCUGACCCAGCCAUGCCGCGUGAAGGACGACGGCCCUCAGGGUUGUAAACUUCUUUUACCCACGAAGAACGGCCGGUAUGCGUACCGGUGUGACGGUAGUGGGGGAAUCAGCACCGGCUAACUCCGUGCCAGCAGCCGCGGUAAUACGGAGGGUGCAAGCGUUGUCCGGAUUUAUUGGGUUUAAAGGGUGCGUAGGUGGUUUGUUAAGUCUGGUUUGAAAGCGGGUUGCUC
rnacentral:rRNA from 1 species